CGCAUCUGUGCAUGCAGCAUAUCAAUAAGCGGAGGAAAAGAAACUAACAAGGAUUCCCCUAGUAACGGCGAGUGAAGCGGGAAGAGCUCAAAUUUGAAAUCUUAAAGGGUUUCCCUUUACGAAUUGUAGUUUAAAGAAGUGUUUUCUGUUGAGGUUUUGGUAAAAGUUCUUUGGAAUAGGACAUCAUAGAGGGUGAGAAUCCCGUAUUUGACCUUUACUUUCAACUUUGUGAUACACUUUCAAAGAGUCGGAUUGUUUGGGAGUGCAGUCCAAAAUGGGUGGUAAAUUUCAUCUAAAGCUAAAUAUUGGCGAGAGACCGAUAGCGAACAAGUACCGUGAGGGAAAGAUGAAAAGAACUUUGAAAAGAGAGUUAAACAGUACGUGAAAUUGUCAAAAGGGAAGCGUUUGACACCAGUGUUGUUUUUCUGAAAAUCAAUUAAAGAACUGUUUAUGCUAAGCUGUUUAGACUUUAUCAGCUAUCUGUUUAGUUUUAGGCUUUUCUUUAAUGCACUUUUCAGUUAACAAGUCAACAUCAAUUUCUUUUGCUGUAAAAAAGCUUGAGGAAGGUGGCUUGAGAUUCGUCUUAAGUGUUUAUAGCCUCUUGCCUAUGCAGUCGGAGAGAUUGAGGUCUGCAGCGUAGAUCCUUCGGGGCUAAAUGCAUUUGUGCUAAGUUAUAACAUUUUAUAGACAACUUGUUGACUAUGAUUUGUCUUGUAGCUUACUCGCUUAUGUUAUUCUACCUACGCUUAGGAUGUUGAACGCGCACAGAGUCUC
rnacentral:rRNA from 1 species